CUAAAUGCUGGAUAAAAGAUGUUAAUCAGUUGCUCAGUAGCUAGUGUAGGAUCUGUUCCACAAUUACUACAGCUACAUCUGGUUACUGGGUCUCUGAUGACAUUAUCAAGCUACAAAGAUUGUU
rnacentral:pre_miRNA from 17 species